AAGGAAUAUUGGUCAAUGGACGCAAGUCUGAACCAGCCAUGCCGCGUGAAGGAUGAAGGUCCUCUGGAUUGUAAACUUCUUUUAUCUGGGACGAAAACGGGAUUUUUAUCUCAAUUGACGGUACCAGAGGAAUAAGCCCCGGCUAACUACGUGCCAGCAGCCGCGGUAAUACGUAGGGGGCAAGCGUUGUCCGGAUUUACUGGGUGUAAAGGGUGCUCAGGCGGAUUUGUAAGUCAGAGGUGAAAUCUUACAGCUUAACUGUGAAACUGCCGUUGAUACUGCAAGCCUAGAGUAUGGAAGAGAGUGAUGGAAUAUCUGGUGUAGCAGUGAAAUGCGUAGAUAUCAGAUAGAACACCAAUGGCGAAGGCAGUCACUUGGUCCAUUACUGACGCUAAAGCACGAAAGCGCGGGUAGCAAACA
rnacentral:rRNA from 1 species